AGCUGGUCCCAGUCUGUGCGCUUAGCUUGCUGACUCCCAGGGCCACGCAAGACCCCAGGCCUGAGCUCGGUGGUGUUCAGCACGGAAUUUUCACCCUAACAAGGGAUCCUCCACCCCUUUGUUUGCUCGCUUGUCAUCCUCCCUGGCUCCACUGAGACCCCCACGGGGGGAGGGGCUACAUGACCCUCACCACUGUCACGCCAGCCCCUGGCACGGUACUCAGGACACGGCAGGUCCCCAACAGACAUCUGUGCAACCAACGCGAGUAGGAGGCUGGUGUCCAGCUGGGCCAUCCGAUCCAGUAUCAAGUCACAAGUCUUAAGAUUUUGACCCUGUGUGGCUUAAAAUUUUGUUUUGAGGGUGUCCCCUCCAGCCCAAGGAUCCAGGCAGCCAGCUCCUGGGUUUUCUCCGCCGGGGUGCUCCCACUGUGCUUGUAGUGGGAGGUAAAAAGAAGCGCCCUGGGGCCCAGCUCCCAUCCUGGCAGGCUGCAGGGCUGGGGCGGGGCUCUGGCAGCUGGGCCCGCAGCUGUCCGCUGGCUCUGCCCCGGCCAGGCUGGCCAGCAGGGCCCCUCCACCACCCCACGCCCCAUGACACAGCAGAAAGUGAAACACGAGUCGCCCCUCCUGGUGGGGUCUGGGAGCCCACCGGAGCUGACCCCCUAGCCCAGCACUGCACGGCCCGCUGGACAAGGGCGCCCCCCGCCAUGCCCCACCUGCUCCAGGGCCCCUGGCACCUGCUGCCCCCUGAGCCGGUGCCCUGUUCCAGAACUCUCCCUGCUUCGUGGCACCUUUUGAGUUGUACACCAUUCGAGCCCAUUAUAACACUGGAUGCAUCCAGGAACUCUUUGAGGCUAGAGCAGGGGGUGUUGCCCCUCCCAUGGCUGACGGGGAAACUGAGGCAGAGUGGAAGCGUCCUGUCUCAGGAGCUGGCAUGUGAGCCACGACUGCCAAAGGCCCGCUGCCAAGGUGAAGCUCCCAGAGGCCCAGCUGGAAGGACCAGGCCUCACCGAACAG
rnacentral:lncRNA from 1 species